UCCCUAAUAAAAGUCAUGAGGGCUAAAGCCUGGGCGUCUUUUUCUGCAGAAUGGAGUGCCUCCUGGUCUCCCACCUUCUAAACGGUGGUCUCAGCAUCUGAGAGGCCGCGGGGGGCCGGGGCCAAGAAAAUGGGGAAAAGGCUAUGUCACGUCCGACUUCCACGUCCUCGCUGACACCGUGGUGCUCAAACCCAGUGUCCAUCUCUGCUUGCCCUUUGCUGGGCGCGGGCUACCAGAAUUCCUGCUGAGCCUGGGCUCCUGAUCCGGGAAAAUGAGGGGCUGAAGCAUUUUCCUAUCGGACACGCUUGCAUCCAUUUCACCACUAGCCAAAGCCUCCAGAACAGUUUGGGCUCACUCCAGAGGAAAUGGGACUACGCGAAAUGCACAUGUGGAGUAAAUGUUGUCAUCCCAUGGGAACCCGUUUUGGAAGAGCUCUUGAUGAACUUGGACCGAUUUCUAUUUCUUCAUUCUAUAUGGAAGAAGCCAUACACGGUGGUGCUCAUUUAGUUUCCCAAGAAGUUUUAAUAUGUGAAAUUCCUUCAACCUUGUGACGUCUAAGUUAUUGUUUCAUAACGAGUAGUAGCAACUCUAAGAAAACCAGUGCAUCUUACUUAGACAAUUGAUUGGCUUUGGCCAUAGUGUGUACACAGAACCCAAAUGGAAAAAUCUGUUCUGUUGACCAUUUUUCUCUACUGGUUCACUCAGAACAUCUCUCAGGUUAAGGAUGGACCUUCUGCUGCGAGAGUUGGGACUUAACUAGGGAAAAUUCAUGUGACCUGAUCUGGAUUUCAUCAUCUUCAGUGUAUUUGUAAAGUAAUCUUCUUAGCACUUGUCAUGUCAUCAACUAGCUGUCUCUACGUGUUCUCUCGGGGAAUGAUUUCUUUUGAUUGGCUCUGGUAUCAAGUCCCCCUUGUCUCUGAGUUUGUCUGUAUGUCCUCCCUGUGGCUGACUGGCAGUGAGCUAGACCACAGAGCUGAGGAGGCUCGUGGCUCCGUGGCCAAGAGUCAAUGUUUUCCUCCUUGCUCUUACUUACAGGGGUAAGUUUCUGCAGGAGUCAGCACUGGCCAGCUCCCUUGACAAAGCUUGAGAGAGCAUCCAAGCCAAGCCAGGUGGGGAGAAGGGUUGAUCUGGUGGCCCAUCCCCUGGUUUCUGGAAAAACCAAUCCACACCAAGGCUCUGCGGAUGACAGAGAGUAGGGCCUUCUUUGGGUAGACACCAGAGUGCCGUGUUGAUGUCUGGGUUUCUAAGCCUGCUGUCCAGAAGAUCGUCAGUGCACCAGUCACUUUCCAAGAUCUGCUCUUUCUCCGAAGUCGGAGAUAGUCAUCGCACUCCACAGUUCAGUGUUGGGCUGGAGAAAAAGUGUAGAUUUCUUUGCGAGGAAUCUGACGCCAACUAAUGAAAGGUUAUUUGCAUACUACAUAGAGUCCAAGUUGAGUUUUACCUUUGCUUUGGUGAUACAGCCUUGAGAAGGCUCUGUCGUUGCUACUGUCUCUCAAGUAUGCUUCUGCCUUUGAAAAAUAGCUGCCUCGUUGUCCUGCUCAUCCUACCCCUUUAUCGUGUUCAGAAUGGCGCCUAAGUACCGGAUGCUCAGUAAGGACUAAUUCAUGGCUGUAAUAGUCCAAAGAAUAUUUCAUGCAAGGGGUCAUUCUAGAAAACAAUUUGAGCCUUCUCAUUAAAACAAUAUUAUGGCCCUUUCAGCAUUAAGUAGUACUUUGUAAAAAGACUUCAGCAACGCGAACUGAACAUUCAAUCUAAUUUUCUGUUUGUUGAAGCGUUUAUGGCUUCCCCUCAAGACAAGAGAAAUAAUAAGGAAAGAAAUGACUCUGAAUACAGAAUAUUUUAUUACACAAAUUAAAAAAAAUGAGAACAUAUCUGUUAGCUCUUGCCAACUUUUGAAAUAUGGAUUCCAUUUGUCUUUAUUAUGGCCUAUUCCCACAGUGCCUUUCCCCUAUUUAUUAAUUUUUGUAUGUUAAACAGAGCAUGUGCCUACUGAAAAUAGUCAAGGCUAUUUCAAGAAACAUGAAGAAAUGAGAAGUAGAUCAAUUCAUUCUUUAACUACUCUGUCAAUAAAUGCAGAGGCAUAUGCAAUGAGAGUUUCUCAUAAUCCCUUUUAAAAAAAGUCAUGUGCAUUGUCACGGUGAAGUGUUCUGUCAAAUCUGUAAUCCCCAUGAUGACUCACAGAUAUGUGGUUCCCCUUAUUAAGAAAAAAAGGACAGGAAAUCCAGUAUAAAUGAGCUGUUUUCCUCAGUCGUGUAAUAAAACUUGGUUGCCGGUAUAUGAGUUUUUGAUUAUAUCAUCCACUGAUAAUCUCUGGGUUCAUUUUGUCCCAGGGAACACUCCGUCUCCUCCCUCCCCUGACCGGCCCCCUUUGGCCACUAACCUUUUAGCAACCUUCCUUCCUCAGCUGGGGAGGGGGCCCCCCGGUCACGGCCACCACAGUGUAGUAUAUUUUAAGGGCUGUAAAUUUUCACCGUCAGAUUUGAGCCAGGGGUGUUAAGUCCCAGAAGAUACACAUCUGCUUCCUACUCAAAUGGUCUUUUGUUGUGCUUCUUGGUAGAGGGAGCUUUGUCAUGCCACAAAGAUAAA